UCCUGUUAUUAAAGAAACAAAUUAAAUUGUGAAGCAGCCCAGAUCACAACUGGACAACUUAUCAGAGAACAACAGAGGGGGAAGAUUCCAAAUGUACCAAAAAAAGAAACAAGUUGAUCCUGCACUCAGUGUAAUAAGAAGAGGCAGUAACUACAGUGCUGCUUUAAGGAAGAGGCAAGAUAAGGAACAGUUGGAAAGACAUCUGGUGGAGGUGGAAACAGGAAGGUAGAUGGCAGAAGAUGGAUGGAUUUAAGACGGAGAUCUGUUGUUUCAUGCUGAACACUGGUUGCAACAGAAAGUGCAGGGGGGAGAGCUGAAGGGAUGUAAACAUACAGCAUCAGAAAUGUACAGCCUCUAUGGCUUCAUAGCGUACUCAAAUAAAUCUGCAGCAUUGACUGUUGAGGCACAUGUGACAUUAGAUCACAAAACUACAGUUUGCAAAUGCACACAGUGCUUUGUUAUAAAUAAUGUAGACGUGUUGGUGUUUAAUCACUAAAAUAUGUACCGAAUGUGAUAUUUCAUUUGUGUUCAUGGUCAAGGCUGUAUGAUCCCUUCAUCUGGCAAGAUAAAACUAGCUUUAGUGUAGGGUUUAAGCUUAGAGUCUUACAUCUGCAACUAGAAGGAAGAAACAAUCCAUACCCAUAAAUUCAAUCCCAAGAUGUUCUGUCAGUGCAGAAAGAUGAAAAAAAGAUAAUUGGAUUUUACAGAUGAGGUAAUAUUUUUUAAGUAGAAGAUAUGUAGUCAGAUUUUGCUUAAUGGAUUAAGGACACACUAUCAAAAGUCAUUAUACAGAAACUUAUACAUAGUAGACCGUUUAUAUAAACAUGAUAUAAAUAUGGUAUUCUAAAGGUACAGGAAACAAAUUGACCUAAAUGGUAACACUUUCAAUGACGACUACAUCUAUGGUGCAUUGUAAGGAUAUUCAAAGUACAUUUUAAUGCAUUCAUUAUGAUUUAUGACCACACUCAUUAACACACAUAAAGCUUUCUGGAAUAAAACGUUAUAAAUGUGACUUACAGAUGCUCUUGACUAGAGGUUAAAUGAUUGGGGACACAUUAUGACUACCUACACUCACCUAUAAACACACCUGACUGUUAAUAUAGUGCCUUAGAAAGUUGAUGAGUGUAGUAAUAAAGCAUUAUGGAUGCAUUGUAAUUCACAAUGAAUGCUCCAUAACAUGCUAUGCAUGUGGUCUUCAUAGAAUGUGUUACUGCGAAUAAAUUUGGUUUCUAUGGCAACACACAAAUGUUGACCCAGAUGAGCACUGGACAACCAUAACUACAGUUACUAACAUAACAGGAAACCCAAUGGAAAGUGUGUGUAUGCUCAUCACUGACAUCACAUAUGUUUUAUCCAGUAUCAGACAUUAAUCUGUGAUCUGUGAAGGAGUGCAAACUCUGGUCUCCGGAGUCAGAUGUGCUACACAGCCAUCAACCAACAUACACUGACUUACACCAGUCUUGAGGCAGAGAGAGAAUUGAACUUAAUAAUACCAACAAGUUGUUAAGCAUUACUGCACAACUCUGCCAAAUGUUCUAACUCUAAGUGUAUAAUGUGUAGGUAACAAAUAUAUUUCUGUCAUUUCAUUUCUCCUUUGAAAAGAGCACUCACUCACUGCUAUGCUUUACAGUACUGUGACACAGAGCCCCCACUUCCUCCACACAUUUAAUUGCCACCUCAGUUUUGUUUUUUUAUCCAGUUUUGAUGCUUCACCCAAAUAAUACAUUUUCUCUUCCUGUCACUUGGAAUAAGCUCCUUUGAUAUUUUAUAGUGAAAACCAAAUUUACCAUUGUCAUUUACUGUAAGUAGGUACAGGAAUUGUCCAAAUUCUCUCAACACUCAUGACUGUCACACAUCAAACAAGACAUCUGGGUGAGGGCAGUGUUCCCCAUUUCAAAUUUGCUUUGUAUAUGUCUGGUAAAACACUGACAAACUGUUUUGAACUCCAGUGUUUGCAGGAAGUGAAAAAAUAAGUGCUUUAAAGGUCCAGUGUGUUUCAGUGUGUCCAGUGGGGGAUCAAUUUGCAUGGAAAAUGAUAACAUAUUUUUUUAUGUCAUGUUCAAUCACCUGAAAAUAUGAAUAGCUGUGUUUUCAUUAACUUAGAAUCAGCUCUUAAAAUCUACAAAGAAAACGGGUCCUGUUCUGAUCAUAUUGCACUGCCAUGUUACAGUAGACUAGAGCCUUUACAUUUUGUGGCCACUGUAAUUCCUCCUACAAGUUUAGAAGGGAGUCAGGUGAGGGGUAUUCAGUUGAUUGUAACUUCACCACUAGUCCUAAAUCUUACACACUGAACCUUUAACACAAGUUUAGUUUCCUGUACCUUUAAAAUGCUGGUGAAAGUAUACUUAUCACAACACCAGUUUAUUUUUUUCAAACAAAUUUUGUCCUGUAAUGUAAUAUCUAAAAUGAUCAUAAGAAAAUAUAAUACAUUAUGUAUCCAACUGUUAGGCACCACUAAAGCAGUGACAUGGCUUGAUCCAUGCACUUACAUCAGUGUCCUUGCAUUUCUAGACUGUCAUAGCAGACAGUUAGUGGGACAAAGAUAUACACUCAACAAUCACUUGAAAUUUAGCAUGCUAUGAUGAUCAUGCACCAUUCCCAACACAUACUCAGGUCUCAUUUACUCAAUCUAUCAGUAUGUUGAUUGGUU